GAUGAACGCUGGCGGCGUGCCUAAUACAUGCAAGUCGAGCGAACGGACGAGAAGCUUGCUUCUCUGAUGUUAGCGGCGGACGGGUGAGUAACACGUGGAUAACCUACCUAUAAGACUGGGAUAACUUCGGGAAACCGGAGCUAAUACCGGAUAAUAUUUUGAACCGCAUGGUUCAAAAGUGAAAGACGGUCUUGCUGUCACUUAUAGAUGGAUCCGCGCUGCAUUAGCUAGUUGGUAAGGUAACGGCUUACCAAGGCAACGAUGCAUAGCCGACCUGAGAGGGUGAUCGGCCACACUGGAACUGAGACACGGUCCAGACUCCUACGGGAGGCAGCAGUAGGGAAUCUUCCGCAAUGGGCGAAAGCCUGACGGAGCAACGCCGCGUGAGUGAUGAAGGUCUUCGGAUCGUAAAACUCUGUUAUUAGGGAAGAACAUAUGUGUAAGUAACUGUGCACAUCUUGACGGUACCUAAUCAGAAAGCCACGGCUAACUACGUGCCAGCAGCCGCGGUAAUACGUAGGUGGCAAGCGUUAUCCGGAAUUAUUGGGCGUAAAGCGCGCGUAGGCGGUUUUUUAAGUCUGAUGUGAAAGCCCACGGCUCAACCGUGGAGGGUCAUUGGAAACUGGAAAACUUGAGUGCAGAAGAGGAAAGUGGAAUUCCAUGUGUAGCGGUGAAAUGCGCAGAGAUAUGGAGGAACACCAGUGGCGAAGGCGACUUUCUGGUCUGUAACUGACGCUGAUGUGCGAAAGCGUGGGGAUCAAACAGGAUUAGAUACCCUGGUAGUCCACGCCGUAAACGAUGAGUGCUAAGUGUUAGGGGGUUUCCGCCCCUUAGUGCUGCAGCUAACGCAUUAAGCACUCCGCCUGGGGAGUACGACCGCAAGGUUGAAACUCAAAGGAAUUGACGGGGACCCGCACAAGCGGUGGAGCAUGUGGUUUAAUUCGAAGCAACGCGAAGAACCUUACCAAAUCUUGACAUCCUUUGACAACUCUAGAGAUAGAGCCUUCCCCUUCGGGGGGCAAAGUGACAGGUGGUGCAUGGUUGUCGUCAGCUCGUGUCGUGAGAUGUUGGGUUAAGUCCCGCAACGAGCGCAACCCUUAAGCUUAGUUGCCAUCAUUAAGUUGGGCACUCUAAGUUGACUGCCGGUGACAAACCGGAGGAAGGUGGGGAUGACGUCAAAUCAUCAUGCCCCUUAUGAUUUGGGCUACACACGUGCUACAAUGGACAAUACAAAGGGCAGCGAAACCGCGAGGCCAAGCAAAUCCCAUAAAGUUGUUCUCAGUUCGGAUUGUAGUCUGCAACUCGACUACAUGAAGCUGGAGUCGCUAGUAAUCGUAGAUCAGCAUGCUACGGUGAAUACGUUCCCGGGUCU
rnacentral:rRNA from 1 species